CGGAGGGAGCUAGCGUUGUUCGGAAUUACUGGGCGUAAAGCGCACGUAGGCGGCUACUCAAGUCGGGGGUGAAAGCCCGGGGCUCAACCCCGGAACUGCCCUCGAAACUAGGUAGCUAGAAUCUUGGAGAGGUCAGUGGAAUUCCGAGUGUAGAGGUGAAAUUCGUAGAUAUUCGGAAGAACACCAGUGGCGAAGGCGACUGACUGGACAAGCAUUGACGCCGAGGUGCGAAAGCGUGGGGAGCAAACAGGAUUAGAUACCCUGGUAGUCCACGCCGUAAACGAUGAUAACUAGCUGUCCGGGCACUUGGUGCUUGGGUGGCGCAGCUAACGCAUUAAGUUAUCCGCCUGGGGAGUACGGUCGCAAGAUUA
rnacentral:rRNA from 1 species